rnacentral:lncRNA from 1 species
GGGGGGGGGGUAAUAAUCUGCCCCCCCCCCCACCUUUACUUUUAUUAUCCAAAGAUUGAAGGCUGAGGGGGGGGUAAUCACCGCCCCCCCCCCAGUUCAUUUGUAUUAUCCAAAGACUGAGAGCGGUUCUGCGGUUCUGCUCAGUGCAGCUCAAGGAGGGGGUGGUCUCAUUUUGGGGCCUUUUUGCCCUUCUUUUUGGGGGGGGGCGGAGGGGCGGCCCCCACCAUCGUCAGCUUUUUGGGGAGGGCAGCGGAGGCCUUCAGGGCGACCUCCCGUUCAAUGCGGAGCCGAAUGCCGACCUCCAACGUCUUCUUCAGCUUCUGCUGUUGGAUCACACGCAGCUUCUUGGGGCGAUGACCCGGCCUCCUUUCCUCGGCCCCUUCGCCCCCCCCCUUUCCGCCGCCGCCGCUCUCCGCGGUUUCUUCUCCGCCGCUUUCGGUCUCCCUUGCGCCAUGACAGCACUUCCGGUUUGGCGAAGAGGAAGCGGAAGCAGGGACAUUUGAACAGGAAGCGUAAGGCACGACGGGAUGCAGCGAGGCGGAAGUGGG